AUUGAACGCUGGCGGCAGGCCUAACACAUGCAAGUCGAGCGGAGCGGCGGACGGGUGAGUAAUGCCUAGGAAUCUGCCUGGUAGUGUGGGAUAACGUCCGGAAACGGGCGCUUAUACCGCAUACUAUCAGAUGAGCCUAGGUCGGAUUAGCUAGUUGGUGGGGGAAAGGCCUACCAAGGCGACGGUCCGUAACUGGGCUGCGAGGAUGAUCAGUCGCACUGGAACGGAGACACGGUACAGACUCCUACGGGAGGCAGCAGUGGGGAAUAUUGGACAAUGGGCGAAAGCCAGAUCCAGCCAUGCCGCGUGUGUGAAGAAGGUAUUCGGAUUGUAAAGCACUUUAAGUUGGGAGGCGUUACCAACAGAAUAAGCACCGGCUAACUUCGUGCCAGCAGCCGCGGUAAUUC
rnacentral:rRNA from 1 species